AGAAAAUUGCAACUUUGGGCCCAAAGGUUUGAAUAAUUAAAUUCAAACCUAUAGUUUUUUUUUAAUAUAAUUUUGGGACUCACAAUCCCAUUUUUAUAUUAUUUUUCUCUCUUCCUCUCACGUUGCUCGGCGUUUUCUCGCAAAGGGGGAUUAUUUUCUUUUUUCUUCAGAUUAUAUUGACAAAGAUAGUGGUGAAAAAGGAGUUGUGAAGGGGAACUUGUUAUUCAAGACACAAGGAGCGAAUCCGGCCGAGAAAGCACCAGAGGUGUAAUUAUGGUGUAUGAGACACCAUCUUUUACGUUGCCUCUUAUUUUGGAUUAUACAAUGUAUCUUGUGCCAACUUAGGACAUAUCUUGUCUAUGGAGCA